rnacentral:rRNA from 1 species
GACGAACGCUGGCGGCGUGCUUAAUACAUGCAAGUCAACGACUUUUAGAGUAGCAAUAUUUUAAAGGAAGUGGCGCACGGGUGAGUAACACGUAGGUAAUCUGCCUUCAGGACUGACACAACUCGUCGAAAGACGGGCUAAUAUCAGAUAAUGCAGCGGCUCCGCAUGGAGACAGUUGUUAAAGUACAAGUGCCUGAAGAUGAGCCUGCGGUCCAUUAGCUAGUUGGUAGAGUAACAGCCUACCAAGGCAACGAUGGAUAGCUGGUCUGAGAGGAUGAUCAGCCACACUGGAACUGAGACACGGUCCAGACUCCUACGGGAGGCAGCAGUAAGGAAUAUUGCUCAAUGGCCGAAAGGCUGAAGCAGCAACGCCGCGUGAAGGAUGAAUGGCCUUUGGCCUGUAAACUUCUGUAAAAAAGGGAAAAC